AAUAGAUACCCCGGUAGUCCACGCCGUAAACGUUGGAUACUAGGUGUGGCGGUUAUACCAAUGACUGCCGUGCCGAAGCUAACGCAUUAAGUAUCCCGCCUGGGGAGUACGGCCGCAAGGCUAAAACUCAAAGGAAUUGACGGGUCCCCGCACAAGCGGCGGAGCAUGCGGCUUAAUUCGAUGCAACCCGAAGAACCCUACCUGGGUUUGACAUCACGGGAAAAGCUGUAGAAAUACAGUGUCCAUUAGGGCCCGUGACAGGUGGUGCAUGGCUGUCGUCAGCUCGUGUCGUGAGAUGUUGGGUUAAGUCCCGCAACGAGCGCAACCCUUGUCCUAUGUUGCCAGCGGUUCGGCCGGAGACUCAUAGGAGACUGCCGGGGAUAACUCGGAGGAAGGUGAGGACGACGUCAAGUCAUCAUGCCCCUUAUAUCCAGGGCUGCACGCAUGCUACAAUGGCCGGUACAACGGGCAGCGACCCCGCGAGGGUGAGCGAAUCCUAAAAGCCGGUCCUAGUUCGGAUUGAAGUCUGCAACUCGACUUC
rnacentral:rRNA from 1 species